GACAACUGAGAACCCUUUGGAGAUAACAUCCUGAAAGGAUUUCCAAAUGGAAAGAAAGGGCGGUGUGGUUCUUGUGGUUGACUCAUUUCAACAAUUUACUGCUACAAGUUCGGAAAAACAAAAUCAUUAAUCUUGUUGCACACAUCAUCAAAAGAACACACACAAAAUCAACAAAAAACCACACCAAACAAAAGAUCUACAAUCAAUAGAUAGCGAUUAGGACCCACCCAAACUCAAGCAAGAUAAAUUGCAAAACUUAUCAUCACAAUGAAACAAUUCAUCAAGAAAACAGAAGAAAGAACCAUAUCUCCAACAAAGGUAUUUCUUUAAGCCUCCAUGCCUUCCUGAGAGAAAGUCGAGAAAAACUCUAAACAAAUACUCAGAAAAACAAAUUCCAACCCCAUCAACAACCUGCACAACAUAUAGACCUGAAAAAGGAACUCAAAACAAAAGCUAGACAAAAGAAGAUCUAUAAAGAACAGUUAUACAUAUCCAGUUAUUGGCCGCUCUGCAUCUUUUCAAAAUCAAUAACCACAGCAAGAAAAAAGAGGCACAAAAUCAAUGCAUAUUUUCUCUUUAUCUCAUUCACACAAGAAUUUCAAGUUCAAAUCAAUCAAAAUAAAAAUCAGUUAAAUUAAAAAAAAAAAAGUCCAACUCUUUUCCUACCAAAUCGAAUCUAAAGUUUCGAUCUAUGAAUCUCUCAUUUCAAUUCAUGCCUUCUGUUCUUAAAAUUAAAACACAAUCAAACAAGCAAUAAUUCAUACACAAAACAGUUCAAACUUAAUAACUCACCUAAAUACCAGAUCCUUAGAUCAGAAUAGCAAUCAAGUCAAGACGAAACAUAAUAAUCACUAAGAAAAUAUUGAAACCCUAACCCUAAUCAUUUUUACUAGAAAAAACAAUACUCUAAUCUAAGAUCUAGAAUAAAUUAAAAAACAAAGAUAGAGACCUUUUUUUAGCUAUAGUUGUAAGAGAGAUAGCACCUGAAGGAGUACUUGCAAGAGAUGGGAAAUUUCCAGAGAAAAGUGUCCAGACGCGGAGCUUUG
rnacentral:lncRNA from 1 species